rnacentral:rRNA from 1 species
CCUACGGGAGGCUGCAGUGGGGAAUAUUGCGCAAUGGGGGCAACCCUGACGCAGCCAUGCCGCGUGAAUGAAGAAGGCCUUCGGGUUGUAAAGUUCUUUCGGUGAUGAGGAAGGUUGGUGUGUUAAUAGCAUGCCAAAUUGACGUUAAAUACAGAAGAAGCACCGGCUAACUCCGUGCCAGCAGCAGCGGUAAUACGGGGGGUGCGAGCGUUAAUCGGAAUAACUGGGCGUAAAGGGCACGUAGGCGGACCUUUAAGUGAGGUGUGAAAUCCCCGGGCUUAACCUGGGAAUUGCAUUUCAUACUGGGGGUCUGGAGUACUUUAGGGAGGGGUAGAAUUCCACGUGUAGCGGUGAAAUGCGUAGAGAUGUGGAGGAAUACCGAAGGCGAAGGCAGCCCCUUGGGGAUGUACUGACGCUGAUGUGCGAAAGCGUGGGGAGCAAACAGGAUUAGAUACCCGAGUAGUC